GAGAGCAUGGGUGAGUGGCUGCGCCUGGGUCCGCAUGGCCUUGUCGGUGGCUAUUCCCCAGGCCGCCGCUCAGUGAGGCGGUGGUCUUGUUGGGCAGCAUAUCUCCCCCUUGGUUGGCCAGGGAAGAUCGUGGGCUGCAAUCUGGUCUGACAAUGCAGGCCCAGAAGCAGGCCAUGAGACUCCCUGCUGGGUGAGAGGAAGUGGGCUGGAGAAGCAGGAGCUCCUGGGGUUAGCAGGGGUAAGUCACCAAUGCCUUUGCAAGGAAAGCAAGCAGGACACUGGAAAGGAUGUCCCCAGGAUGUGCUGUUGGGGAGCUCAUGGUGAUUAGAUGGGCAUUUCCUCUGCUUCUGCUGAGGCUCUUUGAGAACACCAGUUCCCCUGGCCCCUCUACCCUGCCGCCAGGGAACACUGGCAGUGACUCAGCGUCUGAGUGCAGUGAGGCCUCCAGCUGUCUGCAGUGAGGAUCUCCACUGCUGAUACAGUGUGCACUAACGCCACCCACAUUUCCACGGCUCCAGUCCAGUCACAGUGGAGAGGGAAAAGUGAAAUCUAGCCAUGUCAGAGAAGACUCUCCUUCCUUAUGGGACAGAACAAGGACUAAAGGAAAAGUCUUCAUGCACCUGGAUGCAGGCAGCUGAAAAAUCUGGAAGCUUGGAAACAGUAAAGAUUAACCAGAUACUGGCUGAUGAGUAGCUGUUUGCCUGGCUGAACUGGCCGGUUUUUAUCUAGUAGGUCCGGUUAGUAAAAGGACAGAGCAGCUGUGCUUGCAGACCCAGCCUUCAUCAUCCCGAUUCCGAAGGUCAGAAUGGAAACAAAAUCACGCAAUUUAUCCAAAUUUUAGAGACUGAAUUCAAUUGUAGGGUCUGUUCUGGAAACGAGGAUGAAUUAUUUCGAACUAAGUGGAUUCUUUCUUCUCUCUGCCAAUUUCUUCACUGUGAUACAGGGAAAACCGAAGAUAUAUCGUUGAUAAUGCAAUUUAAAUAUUGUCUACCUGCAUAUAACAGAGGCUAGACUGCAGUGAAGUAAUUAAGCUAUUUUCAACCUCUUCCAUAUUCUCAAUGGAAGCUCAGUGCUUUUGUUCUGCAUUAUGCCUUUGUGAUAAAGCUUCACUCUUACGAUUCUACAGUUAGAAUCUGUAACUGUUGUACUUACUGUGUGAACCUAGGAUUUUUUACACUUGACAAAAUACAGGACUGAAGCAGGGCCUGUGUAUAGGAGUCAGCAUCUCGUCUAAGGGUUGGGAUUAUUCACCAUGCCAGUCACCCCUUCCUUACCAUCUCCUAAUAAAAAAUAAACCUCUCAGAUCGCAGUACUGAGGGAGGGCUGAGGCUGCUGGGUGUUGCAUAUGUAUUUAUUGCUGGUGCCAUUGAUUUACUCCCUCUAUGUGUUCAUAUACAUCCGCUCUUGUUUCUUCAGAUGGUGCCAUCAUAUCCAUUCUGACCUGUUCACCUCUCCAUACCAAGGAGUGGUGCCAGAGCCCAGAAAAGGAAGAAAACCUCUCCACUCUGCACAGAUAGUCUUGCGUUCUUUUUGAUCUCAAAAUUCCCUUUCCGACAUCCCAAGAUUUGUGUAUUACACCAUACACACAUGACAACACAACAUACACACAACACACAGCACACAUAACACACAGUACACGCAACAUACACAUAUGUGUCUUAAGUCACAUAGGGGCCCUGACCACAGUUCUUCCUACUCUGGUGUUCAGGAGACCAGGCCCAAGAAUGGGGACAUGAGUUGGCAUCAGGUAAAAUGGUAGCCAAGCCAUGCCCAUCCUCUGAGAUUCAGUGUGGUUACCUCAGGUGACAGCCAGUGGAAGAGGCAAGAAAGGUGACUUUUUUGUUUCUUGUACCUCAUUUGCAAUUUGUUUUCUCAUUUUUUUUCAAGUCUUUUUGAAAAAAAUCACCCAUCUCAGUGAGGCUAAGAGAAAUCCCCAGAAGCAAGAUUUUCCUAUAAUUGAGCCAGAACAUUUAAAGAUAGCUGCCUACUCCUUUGGCAAGCAGAAUGGGGCAGCAAUCAUGAAGUGAGAGGUGCCCAAGGGGGAAGGCAUUGGGGCCCCCUCAUCGUUAUGUAUCUUCCUUCUAUCACUGUGGCCUCUGCCCUUCGUUUUCAUAGCGGAAACCCUGUCCCAGGCCUGAGCUUUUUAAAUCCAAACCUACUGAGGGGUGCAGGCAAUGUGUCCAGGUCACAGAGAGCAAGUCACAGGACAAGCACCACGUGUCUUCCUGGAGCAACAAUUUACUACAUGAUUAUUUGAGGAGCAAGUUAAGGAAUUUAACUGAUAGAUAAUUUCAAACUGUAUAUUUCAGUUAAAACCAGCAUGGAUCAAUACAAUAUACAAUAGCACAUAAAAUCAUCAUAUAAUUUAUAAACAAAACCAACACUUCAAAUGAGUUUUGUGACUGAAAAUGGUGGCUUUAGACCAACCAAUACCUGCCCCUUCUUUGCAUCUAAGCACAUGGAGUUUCUUCUGACAGUGAUAUUUUGGAGGAAAUUUUUGAGAAUACUACCUUAGAGCUUAUUCCCUUUCCUUUUUGUGGUUUAGAUUUAAGCUUCGGGACGUUAUAUUUUCAGUUUCAUCCUCUCCCCACCCGCCUCCCCGCCCCCACCACCACAUAGACAGAUUUGGGGCCACCUGUUCACUCCACAGCCAGGAGGAUGGAAAAGCUCCCUCCUGCCAGAUUCUCUCCUUCAUCCACAACAAUGCCCUCUCCAGCAUUUCUGGAGGAGAAAGUCCUCCCUUGGCUUCACUUCCAGGUUCUGUGUUUGGACAGAGCACAGUCUGCACAGUGAUUAACUCAGUGGGACUGGCUGGAGGGAGACUUGUUGUUUAAGGGGGAACCACUGAGAAGGCCCUAACACCUUCACAUUGCUCGACUGCUCCUAGGCAUGCCCAGUGCCUGACCAUGCUUCCCACUGAGACAUGGUGCCAUGCUUGUAUUUGUUGCUGGCACCAUUGAUUUUCUCCCUGUGUGUGUUCAUAUACAUCCACUCUUGUUUAUUCAGAUGGUGCCAUCAAAUCCUGUUCACCUUUCCAUACCAAGGAGUGAUGCCGGAGCCCAGAAAAUUAAGAAAAGCUCUUCUCUCCACUUCCCUUUGUUCUCCCAAAGAUAAGGGUGUAUUUGGUUAGUUCUCUGCAAACUCUGUGAUUGUCACCAUGCUCCAGAUUAAGCCUGUGUGCGCGGUGCCCAUUUCUUUCAUCCGUGGGCUUGGGAUAGUGCUAAUCUGUUGUGGGCGGGCAUGAGUCUGAUGCUGUUCCACUGAGGAAACCAGUACAAGGCUGCCCUUCACCCUGAGCGGAGAUUGUGGAAUCAGACUCGGCCUUUCACUUAAAUUCUCUAAAAAGUCAAUAAAGAAAACCACUAAUUUUAUUAAUAAGGUGAAAAUAUUAUUUCUUGUCGGGUUUAAACUCUUAGAGGAUGAAGGACAUCUAGUUUAUUUCACAUAUAACCUUUUAGUUUAAAACUAGUUUAUUUCACAUGGAAUCUUCUUUUAUUCAUAUCUAAACUUUUUUAUAUAUACAAUUGUUACACAGAAGUUCAAUGUGCCUUCUCUGUCUCUGUCCUUGUCCCCCUCUCUAUAUAUGUAUACGAGAUGAUAUUUGUAUCAGAUGAUAUAUACCUAUCAGAAUGCAAUCUAUACAAAAUAUAUUUUAUAAUAUAUAUUUUUUCAGACUUGA